rnacentral:rRNA from 1 species
CAAGGAAUUUUCCCCAAUGGGCGCAAGCCUGAGGGAGCAACGCCGCGUGCAGGACGACGGCUUUCGGGUUGUAAACUGCUUUUGCGUGGGACGAUAACGACGGUACCACGCGAAUAAGCACCGGCUAACUCCGUGCCAGCAGCCGCGGUAAUACGGAGGGUGCAAGCGUUAAUCAGAAUUACUGGGCGUAAAGCGCGCGUAGGCGGCUUAGUAAGUCGGAUGUGAAAGCCCUGGGCUCAACCUGGGAAUUGCAUUCGAUACUGCUGAGCUAGAGUAUGGUAGAGGGAAGUGGAAUUUCCGGUGUAGCGGUGAAAUGCGUAGAUAUCGGAAGGAACACCAGUGGCGAAGGCGACUUCCUGGGCCAAUACUGACGCUGAGGUGCGGAAGCGUGGGGAGCAAACAGGAUUAGAUACCCCUGUAGUCC